rnacentral:rRNA from 1 species
GGGGAAUUUUGCGCAAUGGACGAGAGUCUGACGCAGCAACGCCGCGUGGGUGAUGAAGGUCUUCGGACUGUAAAACCCUGUCGUCAGGGACGAAGGCAGCAGCGUUAAUAGCGUUGUUGCUUGACGGUACCUGGAGAGGAAGCCCCGGCUAACUCUGUGCCAGCAGCCGCGGUAAUACAGAGGGGGCAAGCGUUAUUCGGAAUUAUUGGGCGUAAAGGGCGCGUAGGCGGUUUUUUAAGUCAGAUGUGUAAUCCCCGGGCUCAACCUGGGAACUGCAUCUGAGACUGGAAGGCUAGAGUACUGGAGAGGGUGGUGGAAUUCCUCGUGUAGCGGUGAAAUGCGUAGAGAUGAGGAGGAACACCAGUGGCGAAGGCGGCCACCUGGACAGUAACUGACGCUGAGGCGCGAAAGUGUGGGUAGCAAACA